rnacentral:rRNA from 1 species
ACUACGAGUUUGAGAGGGGAUAGUGGAAUUCCUAGUGUAAGGAUAAAAUCUCUAGAUAUUAGGAGGAACACCAGAAGGCGAAGGCGACUAUCUGGCUCAAAACUGACGCUGAGGGACGAAAGUAUGGGUAUCAAAUGGGAUUAGAGACCCCAGUAGUCCAUACCGUAAACGAUGAGUGUUUUGGAUUCGGGUCCGAAAAAUUUAAUAGCCAGUAAUUUCAUGUAAAUUAGAGGCGGACAAGUGCCAAGGUUGAUUACCUAUAUACGGUAUCUUAUCCUUAAUGAUUAGGUUUGAUCAGGUAAUUUUGAGAAAAAAUAUAACCAUUCUUAUUGCUAGACAAUUAUAGGAUUCCGAGUACAAAAAUUAUAUAUUUUUAAUAAGCUAACGCGUUAAACACUCCGCCUGGGGAGUACAGUCGCAAGACCGAAACUCAAAGGAAUUGACGGGGGCUCACACAAGCGGUGGGGUAUGUGGUUUAAUGCGAUGAUACGCGCAAAACCUUACCAGCUCUUGCAUCUGACAUGUUGAUGAAAUAGAUUUCAUCUUAAUAAAGUCAGACAGGUGUUGCAUGGCUGUCGUCAGCUCGUGUUGUGAAAUGUUUGGUUAAUUCCCUUAACGAGCGAAACCCUUGUGGUUAGAAGGGCUUUUUGAUAUAAAGAAAGCUAUUUAAUCCUACUGCCAUUAAUAAAUUAGAGGAGGGUGAGGAUGACGUCAAGUCCGCAUGGCCCUUAUGGGCUGGGCUACACACAUGCUACAAUGGCAAUUACAAUGAGAAGCAAUGGUGCGAGCCGGAGCAAUCUAUAACUGUUGCCUUAGUUCGGAUUGUAGGCUGCAACUCGCCUACAUGAAGUUGGAAUCGCUAGUAAUCGUAGAUCAGAACGCUACGGUGAAUUUGUACCUGGGCUUUGUACACACCGCCCGUCACACUCUGGAAGUUGUUCUUAAUUGAAGCUUAUAACCUAACCUUUUUGGAGGGUGUAUGUGAGAUUGAGGGGAGCGACUGGAGUGAAGUCGUAACAAGGUAGCUGUAGGGGAACCUGC